GAUUUGAGAAUGGAGACCGAUAUGCGCGGCACAACCUCUGAGAAAAAAACAACAUGGGUUCCUACAGAUGCUGAUUGCUCUUUGUAGGCGAGGGAGACAUCCGAAUUGGAAGCAGCGAAUACAUAUGACUGUUGAUUGAAAAUAGAUACGUAAUUUUUCUAAAAGACGUUUUUCAGAGUGUUUUGCUUUCCUGCAAAUGUGUGACUUGCUCUUGCGCUUUAAAAUUAAACACGCACUUUACUCGAUAAUAGUUGCAGGUGAAACAAGUACCCCUCGUGAUUCUUUCGCCACAGGUUGAUUGGACUGGUGUUGUGUAUAUAAAGACAUGUUUAUUUCCUUAAAAAAUUACUGAAGUUAACACUUCGUCAAAAGCAACUGCUAUAUGUUUUAAUAUAACAAACUUUAAUGAAAGCAAAUAUGUCAGAUCAUAUAUUUCAGAAAUUAA